GAUGAACGCUGGCGGCGUGCCUAAUACAUGCAAGUCGAACGAGAUCUUCGGAUCUAGUGGCGAACGGGUGAGUAACGCGUUGGUACCUACCCUGAAAUGGGGAAUAACUGGCCGAAAGGUCGGCUAAUACCGCAUAAUACCGCAAGGUUAAAGUCGUAAGACGCUUCGGGAGGGGCCUGCGUCUCAUUAGCUAGUUGGUGAGGUAACUGCUCACCAAGGCGACGAUGGGUAGCUGGAUCGAGAGGUUGACCAGCCACACUGGGACUGAGAUACGGCCCAGACUCCUACGGGAGGCAGCAGUAAGGAAUCUUCCACAAUGGGCGAAAGCCUGAUGGAGCAACGCCGCGUGCAGGAUGACGGUCUUCGGAUUGUAAACUGCUUUUAUAUGGGAAGAUUAUGACGGUACCAUAUGAAUAAGCACCGGCUAACUACGUGCCAGCCGCCGCGGUAA
rnacentral:rRNA from 1 species